GGAAUUUUGAUGACAAAAAUGAUACUCGUGGAAUCAGAGAAAUGUAGACUUGGAAGGGUACCUCCAAAGGUCAUCUAGCCCAACCCCCUUGCAAUGCAGGUAAUUAUUUCUGAAUGUGCUGCUUAUACCUGCAAAUGAGCACCUUCCACGCAAAUCUGUGUCCUGUUUCUUUUUUUAAAAUGUUUUUAUUUUAUUUUUUGAUGUGUGCCUGUCCUACACAUAACAUCCUGUCUGACAAAGAGCCCUGUUGCACUCAAAAGCUUGUGACAUUUCUGCGCUCCUAAGAAGGUCCUGCAGGAUCAGGCCGAGGGCACAUCGAGUCCAGCAUCCUGUUCUGUCCGUAAGUACUGCCGCCUCUAUCCAUGGAGGCACAGAACAGCCAUCAAGGCUGGCUGCCAUCAGCUGCCCUCUCCCCCUCUGCGAAUUUGCCCCAUCCCCUUUUACAUCCUUGCUGGCCACCGCUGCCUCAUGUGGCAGGGAGUUCCGCCGUUCAACUACGCAUUGCGUGGAGGAGGACUAACAUCCUGAAUCUCCCAGAAUUCAGCAUUGCUGACUGUCCACCAGUACUAGCGUUAUGGAGAGAGUAAGAAAAACCUUGCCCUCUUUCUCUGUGUCAGGCACGAUUUGCUAACCUUUUAUCUCCAAAAAGCUCCAAAAUGCUGCAACCAUCUCCUUCCAUCCUUUGAGUUUUUCCCAAACCUCCUCCAACCAGACAGUACCCAUUUUUGGCACGAUACGACCGAAAAUGUCCAGUUUCCCCCUCUCUUGCGGCUUUUGGGUUUAAUGCUGGCAUCACCAGCAGAGUCAACUGUUUGCAUUUCAGGCACAGAAAAUGCCCCAAAUUGGCUGCUUCACAGCGGAAAGGUUGCACUGCCAUGUCUGCAGCCGGGUACAAAGGCCUGCUUAUUAGCAGCCGUUUCGGAGGAGCCAGAAAUAAAACGCUUGCGUGUUUUUCGUUUUUCAAGCAGGAAACAUGCCUAGGAACACGUACGACGUGGCAGCCCAGAGAACUGCACUCUGCACGUGUUCAGAGGCACCCCCGAGCAUCCAAAACGGAGCUUGUGGCGACUUUCCCCCCUUUGUUUGUGUAUUUAAGUAUCGGGAGAACGGUUUCCUUUUUACUUCAUUUUCUCCCUUGAAAAUUUUCAGUUACCAUAUUUCAAAAAAUUAGAAUCACACACCACUUGAAAAACUUGACUGCUUGCUGUGGCAGCACCUGAACUUUGGAACUCCCUGCCUCAUGAAACCAAGCAGGUGCCUGCACUCUACACUUCUCUGCACCCGCUGGAGUCGUUUCGGGUUUAGACGUGCCAACCCGGAUGCUUAGAAAACUGGCGCAAGUUCCAGCCUGUUUUUAUUUAGUCUAUAGUUAACUUUCAAAAAGUUUUAAAUGGCCGUUAUUAUUUUACGGCUUUUAUAUUUUUCGUGAACUGCUUUCAAGUCUUUUUUUUGCAAUCAAGCAGAGUGUAAAAAUUUUACGAAGCAAAUAAAUAGCGCACGACGGAUAAGGCAGAACGCCGCGCUUGCAGAAGACUCCUGUGUGACCUGGAAGUCUGCACGCUUCCUCUGGGACCGUAACCCUAUUUUCUGGCCUGCCCCCUGCGUGAGGGCAGCUGCAGGGGGCUGUUCCCACAGGUCCCUGGACGCGGCUCCCUUCUCCUCCCCUCAUCUCCCCUUUCCCAGAUCUCUGGCUCCCCCCUUUCCUUGGGGAUCAGGUAACCCACCCAGCUGCCGCCUUCCGUCAACACCGGGGUCCAGCCGCCGCCAGCUGCUCCUUCCACAUCCCAGAAAUCCACACACACACACACAUUUCGCACGGAGAAAUGAGAUAUGAGGGGCUGACGUUUUCCACCCGACUCCUUAAAAGUAGGAUGGAGCUGGGUUCGAAUCCUUGCUCCCACCGGUGCGAAAGGCAAUAAGGAAGAUUAAGGCAAAAUUCGGGCAAAAAUGACAGCAGCAAUCAAAAAUUCAAAAAAUCUGAAAUUCUAUACAGAAUGGGAAUGCGUAGGGGAAUACAUGAAGAAAUAGGGUGUUAAAGCAGAACUCUUAAUAGGCAAUUGUUAAGAGCUUAAGGACAAAAGAAGGAAUUAUAAUUCAACGGUUUUCAAGUUACUCUGUUUUAUCGAAGCAACUAGAAAAAUAUAUAUAUGAUGGGAAGAGCUCACACAGGUGAAGGGAAGCAGUGGGGAGGAGUGGAGGGUUAGGCUGAACUUGGGAAAGGAUAUAAUAGGUUCUUAUAGAAUAGUAAUAUAUUGUAACCAGAAUAGAAGUUUAAAACGGGAAUUAAAUGUACUUUUAGUACUUUCAUUAUUGUAAUAGUUAUUAUUUCUUAUCGGUAGAAGGGAAUGUUAAUUUAGACUUCUUUGUUUUGCUGUCUGUAUAAUUAUUAUUUUUAAAGUCAAUAAAAAAACAAGAUUAAGACUAAAUGUCAGGAAGGAUUUCAUGAGGGUGAGGGGCGUUCGGAAGCGGUGGAAGGCGGCUGGCUCUCCUCAAGUUCGAUUCUUCGGCUACGAUUCCUGCAUCGCAACGCGGGGUUGGGCUAGAUGUCCGCUGGGGGUACCCCUUACAACUCCACAGUUCAGUGGAGGGGAAAAUAGAAAUUCAUCAUAGCAAUGUAGUGACUGAAUCCUGCCUUCCUCCUCUACAAAACCAGUUUUUCACUUUGCAUCACAUCGAGCCAAAAAUACACAGUACGACUGCCUUUUUGGCAGGGGUGUGUGUAAAUAAAUGUGUGUAUAUAUAUAUAUAUACCUCGAUUCAAGAAUCUUGCAGCCUUUUCACAGGGAGCUGCCUUAACUUGUGUGGCACUUUUUUACGGUCCACCCAGCGGCUAAAAGGGGUUUUCGCCGCAAGGCGCUGUAUCCCCAACAAGACAGGACCCGAAGACGACGCUUCAAUCUCCAAAGCCCCAGGCAAAUCAAAUCCUCUUGGCAGAGUAACUAUUGAAUCACUGCGUUUUCUAGUGUUGGAAUGGGACCCCUGAGGGUCAUCCAGCCCAACCCCGCGCGAUGCAGGAAUCUCAGCUAAAGCACCUCUGACAGGUGGCCAUCCGAUGUCCGCUUUAAAAACCUCAAAGGACCCCUUCACCCCCAUGGAUUCCCUCACUUGCGUUCUCUACCUAUGGCUUCUGUCUCUGGUGCUCAGGAUCAUGACGGACAUGAGAAAAGAUGCAGGAGAAAAAUCAGCCUCCGUGGGAGCCUUGGGCUAAGGACCUAUAGCUUGGGGAGGCAACCUAAGGCCCGGGGGCCGGAUCCGGCCCAAUCGCCUUCUCAAUCCGGCCCCCAGAUGGUCCGGGAAUCAGCGCGUUUUUACAUGAGUAGAAUGUGUGCUUUUAUUUAAAAUGCAUCUCUGGGUUAUUUGUGGGGCAUAGGAAUUCGUUCAUAUAUUUUUGUCAAAAUAUAGUCCGGCCCCCCACAUGGUCUGAGGGACGGUGGACCGGCCCCCUGCUGAAAAAGUUUGCUGAUCUAAAGGAACAGGGUUCUGGUUUCCUGAAUGCUGUUGUCCGGUCUAGGUGAAAGGGGUGGGCCAGGCUUCUUUAGGGUUGGGGUGAAAGUUAAAUUUAAAAAGAAAUAAAAAGGGGGGUAAAUGGUGGGUUUUGCGCUGAGCUCCGUGGAGCUUAAGAGGACCCCCGAAAAAGUAGGGCAGGACUGGAGAAGGGAUGGCCCCUCCCUCCCCAGGAGGAUUCAAACUGGGACCCUCUCCCUACCUGCAAGAGAGGAGGAGCCACCCCAUACCAGGACUGCCCCCCCAGGAACCUCUGGGGAACAGCUCUUGCUGUUGGAAUCUCCCUUCUUGUAACCUGAUGUCCUGGGUUCGAGUCCUUCCUUCCAGAUCAGCAGGAAAGAAGCUUGCACCCUAUUCCAUGGGGCAGCCCUUGAGACAUUUGAUGUUGGCUCUCAUAUAUCCUCCAGGCUAAACAUUCGCAGCACCUUCAACCGUUCCUCAUCAGGCUUGGUUUCCACACUCUCGGUUGCCUCCUUCUGCC